CGGACGGGUGAGUAAUGUCUGGGAAACUGCCCGAUGGAGGGGGAUAACUACUGGAAACGGUAGCUAAUACCGCAUAACGUCGCAAGACCAAAGAGGGGACCUUCGGGCCUCUUGCCAUCGGAUGUGCCCAGAUGGGAUUAGCUAGUAGGUGGGGUAACGGCUCACCUAGGCGACGAUCCCUAGCUGGUCUGAGAGGAUGACCAGCCACACUGGAACUGAGACACGGUCCAGGG
rnacentral:rRNA from 1 species